rfam:Candidatus Burkholderia pumila strain TZHbot3 BPMIctg393, whole genome shotgun sequence.
GUCGUCGUGAGGCGGGGUUUGAAGGAAGUGUGUACCAAAGCCACGACCUGACGAACAGAAACCAGGGCCUACCCGGGCGGAC